GCCACCCAGGCACCGCUGGGCCUUAAUUUUCUUACUGAAAUCAGAGUUGGGCUGGUACUUCUUAAAAUUUGGUCCAAGUCUAAUGUUAUAUAGUUCACAUGAAUACAGACCAGAGCCUUGAGGGGAAUAGGGUAGAGAGAAAACUCUCUUUUUUGAUUUUUCACAAAAACCACAGUGGGAAGGACACCUGGGUGGCUCAGUGGGUUAAGCCGCUGCCUUCGGCUCAGGUCAUGAUCCCAGGGUCCUGGGAUGGAGUCUCACAUCAGGCUCCUUGCUUGGCAGGGAGCCUGCUUCUCUCUCUGCCUCUGCCUGCUUCUCUGCCUACUUGUGAUCUCUCUCUUUCUCUCUCUCUAACAAAUAAAUAAAUAAAUAAAAUCCUGAAAACAACAACAACAACAACACAGUGGGAGAAAAAACUGGGGGGGAUCUGUUUAAACUUCUGGGUUACAUGAUUCUGUUAACACAUGCUGAUCUGGUUUUAUGAGGUGUUCUUCAUGAGAUUGCGUAGCUUUUGUCUAAAAGGGGUUAAUACGCUUUUUAAACGAAGGUGGGUAUAAGCAGAACUGAUCAAAAGCAGAUACAACAGGGGCACCUGAGCGGCUCAGUUGGUUUAGCAUCCGACUCGUGAUUUCAGUUCAGGUCAUGAUCUCAGGGUCGUGAGGUCAAGCCGCGGGUUGGGCUCUGCACUCAGGCCCAGGUGUCCUUGAGAUUUUCUCUCCAUCUGUCCUUCCCCCUGCUUGUGCAUGCUUUCUCUCUAAAUAAAUAAACAAAAUCUUUAAGAAAAAAAGCAAAUGGAACACUGAUAAAAGCAAUGAAAAUAAGUAAUGGGGAUUCCUGCUCAGUUCACUGAGCUCUAACUGAACUUCGCAGUCAUGACCUCAUGAGAUCCUGCAAGGUAAGUCUGAUCAUCUCAUUUUUAUCGAUCUAGUCAUUGGCUGGCUAGCCAGGCAGCGGCAGAGCUGUGAUCUGAACCCAGAUACACUUAACUUGAAAGCUCCCAACCCAUCGAAUACACCUCAGAUUCAGUUUCUCUUCUUUAUGGGAAAGUUUGAGAAGCAACUGGUUUAGGCAACUUGAUUUUUUAAAAAACUUGUCCUACAUGAUAAUACAGAUCAGGUGUUCCUUUGCUUGAUGGUUCAAGGAAAACCUUCUACUGAGGAUGAGAGAGUGAAGUUCUGUUUUUAGAGCCUGGAGUCCUUGCUUACUGACCGGUUUGUGAAUUUCUGAUCUCCGCUUGCCUAUUUCCUUCCUUGAAAACUGAAUAUAUCAUAGAAUAUACAACACCAAGAGUGAAUCCUAUUAUAAAUGAUGGAUUCUAGGUGAUGAGGAAGUUCAUGGAUUCCAACAGAUGUGUCAGUCUAGCGUGGCUAUCAAUCGUGGGAGCAACUGUGCAUGUGUGGGGAGACAGAGUAUACGGGAACUCUUAGUACUUUCUACUCAAUUUUGCCGUGAACCCAAAACUGCUCUAAAAAUAUAUAUUAAAAAAAAAAAAAAACUGACCCAACACAAUUGAGUAUGUGAGCUGGUAGGCUUUGCCAAAGAUGGGAGAGCCAGAAAGAUAAAGCCUGUUAAAUUCUUUUUUUAUCCAUUUGGAUAAAAGGUGCUUUUGAAAGAGAGGGUUUUGUCAAGUGCCAUGAUCUCAUCAUCUGGCAACACCAGUAGGAGAGGAGCCAAGGGAAACCCAGGGCGUUGACGUGUGGGUGAUUCAGGGGCCCACACCGCUGACAGUGAGCAGCCCCUGGUUUGGAGUUGGUGGGAGGGGGCAGGGGACAUGCUGUUCCCUUUCGGGUUGUGCUGAUCAGUCAUGAGAGCCUGGAGGCUCCCACCUUGGGCUUCUGCCUGCCCAGAAGUGCCAGGCGCUGGCUUUUGCUUCUCUUUGUUGUUUUGGGCUAUGUUUCCCCCUUUGUUCUUCCAUAGAUGGUUGCGAACUGUGGUGGUGGCUCUUUCAAGGGCUUUGCUGACACUGGGCAGCCCUGGAUCUCCGUGUACGGACAUUCCCGCCCACUCCCCAAGCUGUGCCCUCACAGGCAGCAUCUAGGGGCAAAUAACAUGCCCGAAACACACCCUUUAAUGUGUUUUGCGUGUGGUUUUGUGUGUUUUUUUGUUUGGUUUAUUUAAUAAUAUUACUAGCCUAUGUAUAAAGCUUUAUAAAACUUUUCAUUCCUGUAUCACAUUUAGUUCUUACGACGGUAUCUGGUCAGCGGGUGGGUGAGCGAUGGUAUUAGAGAGGCUGGGGGCUCGUCUUCUGGACUGUAGAAAGAGAAACUCAGUGAAUGAAGUGACCUCCUUCAGCUCGGAGCCGCAGGGCGACGUGGGUAACAUGGACCAUGGUUCCGGGACUCUUUCCUGUCCCGAGGUUUCUGGCCACCUUAGGCCCUGGGGUCUCACUUGUGCUGCUUAAGUACCGACAAAGUCAGCUAAAAUAGGGGAUGCUUUUCUUGGUAGCCAUUGAGGGAGAAGAUUAAUCCUGUGUAUUUGUGUUUGUGGGAUUUUCCCCCAAGGUAGCACUUUCUCAGGAGAUUUAAGAUCCUGGGUAGGAAACAAUAGGCAAAAUGAUUCUUUAGGAGGACUCUCUCCCCUUCUUCCCUUUGUCUGUGCUGUUGUGGCCAAGCACUUACCCAAACCUUUCUUAAUUUUAUCCAUAGUGCUACAUUUUAAGAAACAAACUCCACAGGAAAACAAAGCUGAGCGAAGUGGCUGGCCUCCUCUGAGGGACACCCAGCCCAGGUCACAUGAGGAGCCAUGACACCCUCGGGAAGCCGGGCUCCUGCUGACAGGACGGGGUAUCAGAAUCGCAGGCAAAUGGUCCAAGUGGCUGUUCAGUAUCUUCGGCUUUCACAGCUUCCCUUCCAAGCCAGUAAUUCCCUUGAGUCCCUUGAGUGACCUGUGUUCCAUGCUCAGGUGGUCCCCCGACCCCUCCCCAGCUGGCUCCUUCCCCAGCAAAUGUGAGAGAUGGCUGAUUGGCGCCCCUCAGCCUGCUGCAGCCGCAUAGGCUAUAGGUGGAUAUUUAAGCCUUUUUUUUUUUUUUUAAAAGAUUUUAUCUAUUUAUUUGACAGACAGAAAUCACAAGUAGGCAGAGAGCCCGAUGCAGAGCUCCAUCCCAGGAUCCUGAGAUCAUGACCAGAGCCGAAAGCAGAGGCUUCAACCCCCUGAGCCACCCGAUGCCCCUAUAGGUGGAUGUUUAAAAAGAACAACUCUCCUCCCACUCUGCUCCCCACGAGCUACUUGGAUUAACCCUGGAAGGAUGUUUCCGUUAAGGAAACCACCGUAGCAUUGAAGAGUUUUAAACUGGAAAGGCGCACAUAGAAGGAAUGCCGAUAAAGUCUGAAAUAAAGAGAAUUCCUUGGACUUUGUAUUGGUGAAAUAGCCAAUACCUGCAGCCCAGAAAUGGCAGCCUCGCGGAUUUUCAGGAAACAGAACUGGAAGAGGGGAGGAAAGGGAGCCAACUCAGCUAAAAGCAUCCAUUAGACACCACAUGAAGCCCACAGGAUGCAUUUAAACAGAACUGUUCUGAGAUGGGUGAGUUGAAAGAGACUUGACACUACGAAGUCGUGUUUGGAAUGCUGUAACUACCCCAGAAAUACUGUGGGUGAUGCUGCCCUGGGAAUGCUGAUUGGAAUCUCCAGUAGAUCUAGGUUCUCCUUGCCACGUUUUGGUUCCCUACCAGGAGCGAAUACUUUUUUCAGCCUCUAAUAGGCAAUCCAUAAGUGUUCAAAUUACCUUUUAAUUAAAUUACAUGAAUGGUCUACAUAUGUUUUUAGAGUCCACUAUUACAUCCACUAUUACUACUUGGUACAUCCACUAUUACUACUGUGUGACUUUGGGAAAGUGACUUCAUCUCUCUGUGCUUCAUUUAUGAAGUGGAGAUGGUAUUACUCUCUACAACAUAGGGUUAUUAUGUGGAUUGAUUAUUUUUAUUUUUUUACUGUUCUCUUUCUUUUUUUUUUUUAAUUAAAUUCAAUAGCUGACAUACAGUACAUCAUUAGUUUUUGACAUAGAGUUCAGUGGUUCAUCAGUUGCACAUAACAGCCAGUGCUCAUCACAACCCAUGCCCUCCCUAAUUAAUGCCCAUGGCCCAGUUAUCCCAUGCCCCCAACCCCCACACCUCCUGCAACCCUCAGUUUGUUUCCUGAGUCAAGAGUCUCUCAUGGUUGUCUCCUUCUCUGAUUAUUUUUAAAAUAAGAACCUUAGUAAGGGGGUCAAUAAAUGUUAGCUAUUACUAUUAAUAGUAGUAGUAUUAAGGCUAACUUUUCUUCAGCUGUGUUAUAGAUGCUAGGUGUGUCCUUCAGUUGUUACUCAAUUUUUUCAUUUUUUAAGAAUUGUAAAAUACAUAUACCCUUAAAUUUACCAUCUUAGCCCCCCCUUUUAAAAAUAUUUUAUUUAUUUACUUGACAGACAGAGAUCACAAGUAGGCAGAGAGGUAGGCAGAGAGAGAGGGAGAAGCAGACUCCCCGCUGAGCAGAGAGCCGGAUGUGGGGCUUGAUCCUAGAACCCUGAGAUCAUGACCUGAGACAAAGGCAGAGGCUUUAACCCACUGAGCCACCCAGGCAUCCCCAUCUUAGCCCUUUUUAAGUGAUUUUAAGCCACAGCUCUGUGGCUCAAGUCUCUUCACACUGUGGUGCAGAAUAUGUUAUUUUAAGUGGGGAGCAGAUCAGGGAAGGCAUGGUUGCAGAUGGGUGUGGGUGCUCUGUUCGCAGCAUUCAGGGUCCUGAUCUGGGCAUAGCCCAGUGUGGGGAGCGAGCAGGGUGACCAGGCCAUACGGAGGAGAACCAGGCAAUUGUUGUCCAGCUGUUCUGUGAGCAACUGAGAGGCUGACACUCAAAUAUUUAUGUCGUAUCAUCUCUCCACUUUGUUUUUAUCCACUUCACGGGCUUCAUUGGCUCAAUCAGUUCUUUGAUCCUGCAAAGUAAAGCCCGGGUUCAGAUCCACUUUGCGGACAUCGUUUGUUUGAAAUGUCAGCAAAUUAGUGGGUAAGAGAACAUUUAGCAGUGCAGUGUGCCACAAUUCAGAGGUUCAUGAUUCAGGUCUUAAUCCGGAUACCUGGAUUAAGUGUGGAACUGAACGCAGUCAUCUGACUGCAUUCCUUGAAAUGGACAAGCCCAGAAGUUUACAAGAUUGAUUUCUGAAGGUCGUAAGGAUGUGACAAUAAACAGACUUCCAUAAAAAAUGGAAAGCCUAUACCCGUAUCUCCCUGAGAUUGUUUCUUGAAGUUGUUACUUGUAGAAUUUACUGGAAUUCUACUUAAAAUGAUGUCAUCCUUUCCCAGAACAGGUUUUUGUGGGUAGUUUCUAAUGUGUAGCUUUUCAGGUAAGUGCCUGUUAUCCCUAAGGCUAAAUUUGUUAUUUAGCUCUUCUGUGCCUGUUAAGCUUACAGGUGUCAAAAAGACACGAGCUUUUAAUUACAUUUAUUUUCCAGCUUUAUUGAGAUAUAAUUGACAUGUAACAUUGUAUAAGUUUAAGAUGUACAACUGCAGUGAUCUGAUAUAUGUGUAUAUUACAAAAUGAUCAUCACAAUAAGGUUAGUUAACACAUAGUUAUAAUCUUGGGGUAUAUGUUGAGAACUUUAAAACUCUAGUCUCCCUUAGCAACUUUCAAAUAUGUAAUACAGUAUUGUUAACUAUAGUCACAAUGUUGUAUGGUAUAUCUCUGAGACUUGUUCAUCUUCCAACUGGAAAUGGGUUUCCUUUGGUCACUUUUGCUCAUUUCCUGCCCUGUUCCUCACCCUGUGCCCCUGGCAACCACCAGUUCUUGUGAGUACAGUUUUUUUAGACUCGAUGUAAAAAUGUGAUCGUACAUUA